UGGAUCCAGACUUUGAUCCUGGCUCAGGACGAACGCUGGCGGCGCGCCUAACACAUGCAAGUCGAACGGAGAUUACAGGCGGAAGUUUUCAGAUGGAAGCUUGUAAACUUAGUGGCGGACGGGUGAGUAACACGUGAGCAACCUGCCUAUCAGAGGGGGAUAACGAUUGGAAACGAUCGCUAAUACCGCAUGACAUAGCGGAACCGCAUGGUUCUGUUAUCAAAGAUUUUAUCGCUGAUAGAUGGGCUCGCGUCCGAUUAGAUAGUUGGUGGGGUAACGGCCUACCAAGUCGACGAUCGGUAGCCGGACUGAGAGGUCGAACGGCCACAUUGGGACUGAGACACGGCCCAGACUCCUACGGGAGGCAGCAGUGGGGGAUAUUGCACAAUGGGGGAAACCCUGAUGCAGCGACGCCGCGUGAGGGAAGACGGUCCUCUGGAUUGUAAACCUCUGUCUUCGGGGACGAAACGAGACGGUACCCGAGGAGGAAGCCACGGCUAACUACGUGCCAGCAGCCGCGGUAAUACGUAGGUGGCAAGCGUUGUCCGGAAUUACUGGGUGUAAAGGGAGCGUAGGCGGGCAGGCAAGUCAGGCGUGAAAUAUAUCGGCUCAACCGGUAACGGCGCUUGAAACUGCAGGUCUUGAGUGAAGUAGAGGUUGGCGGAAUUCCUAGUGUAGCGGUGAAAUGCGUAGAUAUUAGGAGGAACACCAGUGGCGAAGGCGGCCAACUGGGCUUUUACUGACGCUGAGGCUCGAAAGUGUGGGGAGCAAACAGGAUUAGAUACCCUGGUAGUCCACACCGUAAACGAUGAUUACUAGGUGUGGGGGGACUGACCCCUUCCGCGCCGGAGUUAACACAAUAAGUAAUCCACCUGGGGAGUACGGCCGCAAGGUUGCAACUCAAAGGAAUUGACGGA
rnacentral:rRNA from 1 species